rnacentral:lncRNA from 1 species
AAAUUAUAAGUCCAUACUCAAAUCCUUUAUUUUAAUAUUUAUUUUGGUAUUUUAAUGGUAGGUUUGGGUGUGAAUUUAAUAGUUCUUAUAAAGUUUGCCUUGUGCUCUUACUUGAUUUUAAUAUUUGUUUUGUUUGGAGUUGAUUUGAGCAAGUUCGGAUAAAAACGGUGAAAGUUGUCAACAUGAUGGUGGACCGACAUUGUCACGAUGGUGGACCGACAUUGGUGGCUGCAUUGAACUUGUAAGUUUUACUACUCAUGUUUUGAACUUUGAUUUUCUUUUAGGCUGAAUUGCAGAAAACCUCCCUAUCAAUACUUAUUUUUUCACUUUCCCUGAUUCUUAAAAACCUACAUUUUGCCCCUUUAAAAAUUGAAAAAUAUUCACUUCAGCCCCCGGCCAUCAGUGUUCCGUUUAUAUCCUAUUAUUAUAUAUUUUUUAUACUCAAAAUACCCUUGAAACUCUCAUCUCAGAUGCGCCUUUUCCUUCCUCACCGACGUCCUCGGCCGCACUACCUCGACCUCCUCCGCCGCCUCACCCUCGCCCACCUCUCUAUCUGUGCCCACACAUAUGCCCUCACCCUUGCUCUCGUCCACCUCUACGUCUACGCCCAUCUCGAUUUACUCCCUAUAGUCACUGAAAUGGAGGAGCGGCGAGGGUGCUGGAGGAGCAGGGGAUCAGGUGGAGAAAACAGAGUCGGAGCUGGGGUCGAGAGAGGCGCAAAGGACAGAGGAAGAGAAGCUGCGGAUGAGCAGAAUUGGAAAGGAGAUGAAGAGGAUGAAGGGCAAUUUGGUUAUUUUAUCAUCAGAGUUAACAUCGUACCCUCCUGUGAAUAUUUUUUAUUUUUUAAAAGGACAAAGUGUAGAUUUUUGAAUGACAGGGGGAAGUGAAAAGUCGAGUUUUGACAAUUUUUUUUUUUUAAUAUAAUUUAGCCUUUCUUUUAUGGUUUAUCAAAUAAUUAAAGUGAGGUCUAGUAAUUCUUGGGACAAAUCUUUAAUUAGGUCUUCUUUGUGAUUAUUUUAGGAUACGACAGAAGGAUUUCCUUGAUUGACCAUUUACUAACUCAUUUAUAGAUUGCUACCUUCUCAGUGAGUUGGAAAUAUUUCUCUGAGUUACAUCACCUUAAAUAAAAUAUGAGAUUCUUGAUAAAUGCUUGCAACAUUCUUUCUAUAAUAAUCAUAUUUGCCUACAUGAUAUUAUGUUGAUAUAUACAUUCUAUUAUAUAUUAUUGCAUAGAUAUCGAAACAGUAAAUAGGUGCAUGUCCUAGAAAAACACUGGAUUGCUUAGUAAAAAUGACCAAGUCAUAUAUAUACUAAUAUUAUCACAUUAUAUAUAUAUGUAGAAUUAGGCUACUAUACUAUCUAUAGUACCGGAGCUCCGGUACUAUAGUCUUGUUUUCGAUUUUAGAGUGUUCAAUUUAAGGAUCCGCACCGUUAAAUAUGAUCUAGAGUAUAUAAAGUUCUUAGGAAUAAAAUUUUAGUUUUUUUCGACAUCGUUUACUUAGUAAAUAUAUUAUGUCAAAAUGGAUGGUGGUAAUUGAAUAAUCUUUAAAAUUUGAGUAUAGGACUUUUAAAUUCAAGAUCAAGAAUGUUAACCUUAAUCUAGAUAGUUUAAAGUAUUUUCUAUCAAAAUUUGAAGAAAUUUAGAUUCUUCUACACCGUUAAACUCCAAACUCGCCAUAGUAGCCAUUGAAAAUUGACAAUUUUGAAAUGGUUUGAUCAUAAAGNGGUUAGGUUAAUAGUGGUUCCCUAGAGUUGAGUGGGUGGUUGGUUAAAUAGUAUGAUUUAACGGAUGGAAAUGAUCAAAGAAGUAGAUCUAACGGUAAAAAAUUUAUGAGUAUAAAGAGGACUAUACUCAUAAAAGUAUAGUAGCCGGGCUCAUAUAGUCUAGGGCUACUAUACUCUUAUGAGUGUAGCCCCUUUGUACUCAUAAGUUUUCGACCAUUGGAUAAAAAGAUGUGAGGUUAGGAUGAUAAUAGUCCCCGGUUAGGUUAAUAGUGGUUCCCUAGAGUUGAGUGGGUGGUUGGUUAAAUAGUAUGAUUUAACGGAUGGAAAUGAUCAAAGAAGUAGAUCUAACGGUAAAAAAUUUAUGAGUAUAAAGAGGACUAUACUCAUAAAAGUAUAGUAGCCGGGCUCAUAUAGUCUAGGGCUACUAUACUCUUAUGAGUGUAGCCCCUUUGUACUCAUAAGUUUUCGACCAUUGGAUAAAAAGAUGUGAGGUUAGGAUGAUAAUAGUCCCCGGUUAGGUUAAUAGUGGUUCCCUAGAGUUGAGUGGGUGGUUGGUUAAAUAGUAUGAUUUAACGGAUGGAAAUGAUCAAAGAAGUAGAUCUAACGGUAAAAAAUUUAUGAGUAUAAAGAGGACUAUACUCAUAAAAGUAUAGUAGCCGGGCUCAUAUAGUCUAGGGCUACUAUACUCUUAUGAGUGUAGCCCCUUUGUACUCAUAAGUUUUCGACCAUUGGAUAAAAAGAUGUGAGGUUAGGAUGAUAAUAGUCCCCGGUUAGGUUAAUAGUGGUUCCCUAGAGUUGAGUGGGUGGUUGGUUAAAUAGUAUGAUUUAACGGAUGGAAAUGAUCAAAGAAGUAGAUCUAACGGUAAAAAAUUUAUGAGUAUAAAGAGGACUAUACUCAUAAAAGUAUAGUAGCCGGGCUCAUAUAGUCUAGGGCUACUAUACUCUUAUGAGUGUAGCCCCUUUGUACUCAUAAGUUUUCGACCAUUGGAUAAAAUGAUGUGAGGUUAGGAUGAUAAUAGUCCCCGGUUAGGUUAAUAGUGGUUCUCUAGAGUUGAGUGGGUGGUUGGUUAAAUAGUAUGAUUUAACGGAUGGAAAUGAUCAAAGAAGUAGAUCUAACGGUAAAAAAUUUAUGAGUAUAAAGAGGACUAUACUCAUAAAAGUAUAGUAGCCGGGCUCUCUCUCUCUAUAUUUAUAUAUAGAACUAGGCUUAAAUACUAUCAAUGGCAGCAAUAGCUUGAUGCUAUUAGUUUUUUAGCUAUUGGAUUGAGAAACGUGUGAUUAGGAUGAUGUGUCUAUAUAUAUAUAUAUAGAACUAGGCUGAAAUACUCUCAAUGGCAUCAAUAGCUUGGUGCUAUUAGUUUUUUAGCCAUUGGAUUGAGAAAUGUGUGGCUAGGAUGAUGUGGGCCUCCUAGGAUUAAGUGAGUGGUUGGUUGAAUAGUAUAAUCUAAUGGGUAAAAAUAAUCAAAGAGUUAAAUCUAACGGUGGAAAACUCGAUAGCACCAAAUCCUUGGUACUAUUGAUAGUAUCCCAGCCGGACUAUAUAUAUAUAUAUAGAAUUGAGCUCCUAUGUUUUUAAAAGUACCAAGUUAUUGGUGCUUGUAGAUUUUUAGCCAUUGGAUUAAGAGAUAUGCGGUUAAGAUGAUGUGGGCCCCCUAGGGUUGAGCGGGUGGUUUGUUAAAUAGUAUAAUCUAAUGGUUGAAAAUGAUCCAAUGAGUAGAUCUAACGGUAAAAAGGUUACAAGCACCAAGUGUUUGGUGCUUUUACAAGCACCAUAGCUGGAAUAUAUAUAUAUAUAUAUAGCUAGGCUAUACUAUCGGUAGCACGGAGGCCUUCGUGCUACCAAGUUGUUUUCAAUGAUGCGGCUUCCAAAUCGACGAUCGGUUCCGUUAGACUUGAUCUAUAUUAUUGAAAGUAUUUGAAAACUAAAUUUCAUAAUUUUUUAGUAUAAUUUACCUAUCAAAUGAGUAGUUUAAAAAUGAACGGCUGAAAAUAAAAAUCUCAUAAAAAAUAAUAAUAAAAGACUUGAAUUUAAGAUCAGAGGUACUGAUCUUACUUUAAAUAGUGAAAAGAAUUUUCUAUAAAAAUUUCAAUAGAUUUGAAUUAUUUUAUACCGUUAAAUUCACAAACGCACCACAUCUACCAUUAAAAUUGUCAAUUUUGAGACCUUUUGAUCACUAGCCAAAUGAUGUCGAAAAUUAUGAAAUUUAGUUUCCAAAUACUUUCAAUAGUGUAGAUCAAGUCUAACGGAUUCGAUUGUCGAUUUGAAAGCCGCAUCAUUGAAAACAACUUGGUAGCACGGAGGCCUUCGUGCUACCGAUAGUAUACCAGCAUAGAUCUAUGUUAUCUCAUGUUUGCUUUUCGUGAAAAAAGACCAAUUGAAGGGAAGGGUUUCUUCAAACAGCAAGGAGCUGAGGCAACUAUUCAAUCAAAUGAUAUUGAGCAUGUUUCCCAUCUCUUCUCGAGAAACAAGUGGGGUAUUUCUUUGCAAAAUUGUGCUCAAUUUCAUAUGUGGCAAUUCCGCCAAGAUCUCUUCGUUAGUUGGGGGAAGAAUCAGCACGAAUUGGAUUUUUUGAGGAACGUAUCGAGAGAGAAUUUGAUUUGGUUAGACAAUGUGUGGUUGGGAAACAAGGAUCGGUUUUUUAGCAAGGUACGGAAUGUAUUGUCAAAUAUUCAAUAUGAUUCCACAAGAUCUAUUUUCGUUCAAGUAACGGAUUCUAGCCAAUUGAAAGGAUCUUCUGAUCAAUCCAUAGAUCAUUUCGAUUCCAUUAGAAAUGAGGAUUCAGAAUAUCACACAUUGAUCGAUCAAACAGAGAUUCAGCAACUAAAAGAAAGAUCGAUUCUUUGNGCCAAUUGAAAGGAUAUACUAUCGAUAGCACGGAGGCCUCCGUGCUACCAAGUUGUUUUCAAUGAUGCGGCUUUCAAAUCGACAAUCGAAUUCGUUAGACUUGAUCUACACUAUUGAAAGUAUUUGGAAACUAAAUUUCAUAAUUUUUUGACAUCAUUUGGCUAGUGAUCAAAAUGUCUCAAAAUUGACAAUUUAAUGGUAGAUUUGAUACGUUUGUGAAUUUAACGGUGUAAAACAAUCCAAAUGCGUUUGUGAAUUUAACGGUGUAAAACAAUCCAAAUCUGAUGAAAUUUUUAUAGUAAAUUCUUUUCACUAUUUAGAGUAAGAUCAGUAUCUCUGAUCUUAAAUUCAAGUAUUUUAUCGUCAUUUUUUAUGAGAUUUUUAUUUUCAGCCGUUCAAUUUUAGACUACUCGUUUGAUAGGUAAAUAAUGCCAAAAUAUUGUGAAAUUUAGUUUCCAAAUAUUUUCAAUAAUGUAGAAUAAGUCUAACAGAGCCGAUCGUCGAUUUGAAAGCCGCAUCAUUAAGAACAACUUGGUACCACAGAGGCUACUACUGAUAGUAUACCAGCCGGACUCUAUAUAUAGAACUAAGCUGGUAUACUAUCGAUAGCACGGAAGCCUAUGCAUACCAAGUUGUUUUCGAUGAUGCAGUUUCCAAAUCAACGAUCGGCUACGUUAGACUUGAUAUAUAUAUAUAGAGUCCGGCUACUAUACUCUUAUGGCCUAGUGGUGUACUUUGCCACUCUCGGCGGCUUACUCACUGGGAACUAUUAUUUAAUAGUUCUCACUCUCAUUGGUUGUUUUUUUUUUUUUUUUUUUUUUUUUCAGAGCCUUUCGCGGUGGGAGAGGUUAGGGAUCAUGGCAAGGGGUUAGCGUCUAUCUAAAGCCUCUACGGUGUUAUUAUAGAUGGACCCAAUGUCAUCUUUCUUUUGAUUGAGCUGAAGCUUGUAAGGGUCGCUCCCCACAAGCCGGCACUCCGGAGUUGGCCUACGUGACAUCAUUCUCGUCGUGCGGGACCGGACGCCGAAGUGGAUUGUCGUGGGGAGUGUUGACUACCACGGGGCAAUUAGGCACGACGCAAACCGGACUACAAUUUGUGUAGGUUCUCGUUCAAUUGGAAAAGGAUAUAUAUAUCUAAAUGAAUAAUUUAGCCAGCACUACUAGAUAGUGUUUACUAGUUGGACAUUCCGGUACCCAACUCAGGUACCAGUACUCAGCAUCCAAAACCUCAAUUUGCAGAUUUUGUGUCAGGAACUCUUUCUCGCGCUCACAAAGCACAAGUACUGGGUCGAUAGACUACCAAUGACCCUCACAGCAUCUAGAAUAGCUCAUACUGUUAUUCUUACACUAGAACCUCAUAAUUUGCUAAAGUUCAAUGUGCUACAAUUUUCACCGAAACUCUAUUAUUUGCAAAAAUUUAGAAAAUAAAAAAAGCUAUCGAAAACCAAUAGAAUCGAGAUCAUUUUCCAGAAAUGAAAAGUUGAUUUUCGGAAAAUGCCUAGAGUUCAGGUUGAACUUGCAAUUUUGCAAUGUUUGAGAGUUCAAAUGCAAUUGUAACACUUCUAUACAGACCUCGCUAUUGUCCAAACUGUUACAACAAGCGGACAAAUAGAAAUGAAAAUGGUGAAUACAAAAUAGACAAACCACAAGCAGAAAAAAAGAACACACAGAUUUACGUGAAAAAUUCUUUGCAGAAAAAAACCACAGGCGAGAGAGGAGAGAACUUCACUAUCGAAAAAGGAAAUACAAUAUUCGAAGUACAACCGACAUCAAUCGCCUCUACGACAAAAAUGAAAAAAGGAAACUCUUAACGGGUUUUGGAUCUGAUCCGUAUCGACUGACAUUUAUUUUUUCUUCACAAAUUUAUUUUCAAAUGUCACACCACUGUCGGCGAGUCGAAGUCUAAAACUGAAGUUGAUUAUCAAUUUCGAGCCACAUGUAACACAAACAAACCCUUUUCACACUUUUAACCCUAAAUACAGCCCCCUCCCCCCUCUCGACAAAUUUAUUUUCAAAUGUCACACCACUGUCGGCGAGUUGAAGUCUCAAACUGAAGUCGAUUAUCAAUUUUAAGUCACAUGUAACACAAACAAACCCCCCCCCUUUCUUCACACAAACAAACCCUUUCACACUUCUAAGUUCCCCGUUCCUUCCCUUAUCAUUGUAUGAUUGACAUGAUAUUCUAAGAUUUUAUUAUGGCAUUUCUUUUUAUUGUUGGCAUGCAUUCUUCUUAGAGGUUUACUGUUGCAACUUGUUUUUGAAAUCCAUGGUUUAGGAUGCACUUAAAAAAGGUAGCUAUUUUAUUAUGAACGUGCAGAGAUGAUCGAUAAUUGAUUAUCACAUUUAAACAAAUAGGAAACUAAUUGUAACAUGCCAAGAUUGUCACUAUGAGAUCUCUCCCUUGAGGCAAACACAUUAGAAUGGUAGAUCCUUGAAAUAACACUAUUGUGGUGAAGUACUUCCUUGAUUAUGACCUUUGGGUGUGAUAUAGGCAUCUUAUUCACAAGAAUAAAUGCAUAUAUCGAGACUAUUGUUAUAUUAAAGUGAUUUUCAUACUGAGUACAUUCACGAGAUUAUGACCAAACUCGUGCUAAUCAAUUAUUGGUUCGUGGAGGUCGCAACUCCAGUAACCAUGUCCUUUCAAAAGUGACCGCACAAAUGGGCAAAGCAUACUCCCACAGCACAUGUGACGUCCCAACUUUCCUAGGAAUCACCCAUUCUAUAACUACUCCCGUCCUAACACAUUUAUCUCUUUUAACCUCUUGAGCCUAACCACCACCCAAAAUAUUUAAGUCGGGUUAAAAGUUUUAUCCCUGUUAUAUCCUAUAUAUAAAAUUAUCUGGGGUCUUAUAUUCUCCCUCCUAAGCCUGACGUUUUUGUCAGGCUCAGACUCACAAGUGUCAGGCGAUGUGAGACUCGUUUCGCUAGUGUAAACUAAUCUUAUAGUGAGCUGCGCUCCACUACAACAGUCAACAGCAUGAGAGUCUCGCUCUUCUAUCUGUAUAAUCCUGGCUUGGCCGAGACUCAUCUCACACUUCCGGCUGGUAAUUGGCUCUGAUACUAACUAUAUAUGACGCCCCAACUUUCCAAGGAAUCACUCAUCUUAGGACUACUCCCAUCCUCGCAUGCUUAACUCUCUUAACCUCUUAAGCCUAGCCACUAUUCAAAAUACUUAAGCUGAGUUAAAUAUUUUAGUCCUAUUAUAUAUUAUAUAUAGAAUUAUUUGGAAUCUCACAGUCCAGGUGGCAGAGCAAACACCCCAUAAAGCCACGACAAGAAAGCUAGUACCCGGCCACGUGCAUGGUCGGUAGUUGGUAAAUUGGGCAAAUGGGCUUAUGUCAUAGUUGGAACUUGAUUAACAUAAAGAUAAAGUUGAUCAUGUUGGAUUGUUCUCUUGUAUCUUUUUAGAGGCAAAAUAGUGGCAUCUUUAUUUAUAAUCAUUUAGCUUGUUUGUUUGUUGUCUCAUAUCUGUUUAUUUAUUCUUAUUAUGCAUGUUUAAAACUGGUGCGGACAGUUGACUAGAUUCAGCGGCUAUACUCACUGAAAACUUAUUUAGUUUUCAUACCCUCUUGUUGAUGAGUUUCUUAUAGAGCCAUCUAUCAUUGGCAACGCGUGCGAUCACGACAAAGAUAUCACCACUGCAACAGAAUUAGAUUGUAAGGACAUAUUUUUGAGAUACUUUUAUGUAAGUAUUCCAUUUAUGUCAAAACUUUUUUAAAAAUUUUACUAAGGUCUAAAUAUAAAACUCAAUUCAACCAAAAAUAAAAAAUUUCUCUACUUAACCAACCCUAUCCAGCUCACUCGACCCGAUUACAAAUAGAAAAGGAAAAAAAAGAAAAAUAGAUCACCAUCUCCCCUUCUCCUCCUCCGCCGCCGCAGUUGACGAGAUAGAGUUCCAGCAGUUGGAGUUCGGCUGUGAGGAUCUCGUAGAAACCGUAGAGGGCUACGAUCGCCACGUGUCCCUUCGCCACAGGUCGUUGGGGGAGUGGAUGCCAAACAUUGAGGCGAUCCCACAUAUAGCUAGCGAUCCCACAUAUAGCAAUACUUUUACAAAGUAUCGGUAAUUUAGCCAACAAUAUUUUUUUUGAUCUGUACCGACAUUUAAAAGUGUCGCUAUGCACAAUUUUUAUUGUAGUGGAUCAAUAGAAAAAAAAAUGUAUAGUUAAGAGGGCCAUGUUGGAAUGGUCUAUAGUUGGAGUCUUUCAUGAUCCAUUUUCACGUAUUCGUUUGAAUUAUUGUAGGUAAUUGAAUAGAAAAUUGUGUUUGACAUAAUAGCUCUAUGACCUAUUAAACUAAUACUUGCAAUAUAAUUUACUAAAAUGUGAUAAAGUAUUCAAUUAAAGUAGCUAAAAUCACUCAAUUCAUUUUUAAAACAAAGUAAGGAAAAUGUUAAUAAAAAUAGGUAAAAAUGAGUAGAGACCUGGCUACUAUAGGCCAUUAUAAAUCGAGCAAUACUACAUUUAAUUGUAACACUUGUUUGGUUGUAGAGAGUAUUUCUCUUCUAAUCAUGCAUGAACUAUAACUUUUUCGAUUGAGACCCUUUCAAUUUAUGAUAUCUUGACAUUCUGUGGUUUUAGCUAAAUAAAUUAAAGAUUUUAUCAAAUAGAUUAAUAAUUUUUUUCAAAUUUAAUAGUUUAAAUUACUUUGCAGAAAAUAAAUUUUUAUUAAUUAACCGACAAUAGCUAAUCGAGCUAUAAAAUUUUAACGAAAAAUUUAACGUAAACCCAACGUAAAAAACAUUAGAAGUUAAAGGGUCUUAAAUUUAAAAAACUCAAGUUGUGGGGUUUUAUACCAGAUAGUUGAGGGGUCUCCAUACAUUUUUAGCUGAAUAUAAUAUUGAGGGGUUGCUGUUCAAAUAGUCUAUAGAUGAGGGGUCUCUGUGCAAAUUUGACUCUCACCUUCUAGAUCACUCCCGUUCAAAAACAGGAGGCGGAUUGGGAGACAUCAUUAACAUGGCAAUAAAUGGUUUAGCCUACCAAGCGACAGAAAUAGCUUGCUGGACCUUGUCUACCACAUCAUCCGUGCACCGUCUAAUGCAUUUACCAGUUCGUCUCUCCCCUCUUUAACCUCCACCACACGGUUUAUAUAUAUAUAUAUAUAAUAGUAAAAUGUACGUGCAAAUGUCCGUAAUAAUUAUUAGAAAAAGUUAUAAUUUUUUUAAAUUAUUUUUUAAUUUUAGGCCAUAUUUUAUAUGAUUGCCAAAUAUGUAUCUAAAAAAUUUAAAAUAAUAAAUCACGCUAUUAAGAAAGAUAUGCUUUAAAUGAUAAAUAAUUAACAAUAAUCUCUAAUGCAAAAAUUACUUUUGAAAUUAAAUAGAAAAAUAAAAUCUAUUAGGAAAUAAAUUUUUAAAAUUAAAUAGAAAAAUAAAAUCCGUUAUCUUAAAAAGAAAAUAUAUUUUAAAAUUAAAUAGAUAAUAUCUAAAAAAGAUAUUUUAAAAUAAAAUAGGAAAAUAUCUUUUAUAGGAUUUUCGCACUCGUAAUCUGUUAUAGAAAACUUACUUUUAAAAUUAAAUAGAAAAAUUUAUAUUUUAAGAUUUUUAUAUCUCUAAUCUGUUAUAGAGAACUUACGUAUUCAUUACUGUUUUUAUUUCUAUUUUUAUUAUUAUAUUUAAAAUUUUUCGUACGGAAAGAAAAAAAAUAGGUUCAGGAAACUAUUUGACUUGAAAGUUGAAUGGGCUAACUAAUUGUUGCUAAUAAUGAUAUGUCCACUUCACGUCUUCACCACGUGCAGAUUCACUAGAAGAAAGCAGUGUAGAUACGUUUUUAACGAAUUAGCGCACGAGGAGAGAGAGUUUCCGGAUCGACUUCCGCCACCAACUAAAGAAAAUAAAAUCUGAUAUAAUUUGGUGCUUUUGGUCCGCUAAUCUUCUUUCUCCUCGCCUGUAUAUUCUUUUUUUUGAUAUUUUAAUAAUUUUUUAUAUUUUUUCCUUCUUAAUCUUUAACUUUGAGAUUUUACUAGUGUAGUCUAAUCUUUCACCGCCGUCUUUCACGUUCAUGAAGAAAAGCCGGAGUUUAGACACGAUAGCUUGUUCAAUCUGAAGCUUAGUGAUUACUGUUAUCUAUAUUAUUUUUUCAUAUUCUUUCUAUGGAUAUGCGCUUAAUGUUUGGAGUUUGUUUAAUGCUUUGGUUAGUUGCUUACUUUAGGUGUUGUUACUAAAAUCUUCCUCUUUAUUCUUAUUUUUUAUUCUUAUUUGGCGCAGGUUGGAGAUCGUUACUAAAAGUUUUUCUCCUUUUUUGUGGUUAGAUGUCUUUUUUUCUUUUUUCUUUGAGAUGGGAUUUGCUGUUGUGCAUUCCCAAAACUUGUAAUCAAGCUCCGCAUGAACUGUCAGAAACAAUAACAAUAAUACUGUUAGGCUUUCAUCCACAAAAACAGACAUAUUAAAAACAUAUUACCGUAUUCAAGGGAACAUUGUUUUCGUUUUUUGAGAUAAAUAAUGAAAAGCAACAUAUGAGUACGUCUAGGUGAUUUGAGGGUUAAAUUUACUAUUUAUUGGUGAUAUAGCCAGCAUCCCUCUUACUUUGAGUCAUGAACACCAUACCUCUACAAAAAUCAAAUUCAAUUUAAAUUUUGAACUUAGGUAAACGUAUGUACAGAUGACUCAUCCAGCAUGGUUUCGGGCGCAAGUUUUGGGCGCCCGAAUCUAUCCGUGCGCGGUUACGACAGAUUAAGACCAUCAAAAGCAGUGAGGGAGCGCACGAAGGAGGCUGUUGGAGAGAUUUUGGACGCCCGAAUGUGGGUUUCCGGGCACCCAAAACUGGACGUUUUGGCAGAGGUGAGAGUAUUUGAUAAAUAAAGGGUCGUUUUGCAAUGUACUAUAUAGUGGAUUACGAAGGGCAUGCUGAUCAUUCUUCCUUCUUCUUCUUCUUCUUCUCUACCUACACAUUCUAGAGAGAGAGAAUGAGAGCUCUUGGGUGAUUCGGUGAGCCAAUCGAGGAUGCGUGAUGUGUGAUUUUUCCGGCGUCGACAAUGAGAUUGGUAUUAAAAUAUUAUUAUUUUUCGGUUGGGAUUUGUUACGUACCUGACUCGGCGCAACCCGUCAAUGAUGAGAUUUCGCUGAGACGAGGACGGCGUCGAGGAUGAUGGUCUUCGAUCUCAUUCAAAGUAUUGCAGUUCCAGGUAAGAUGAGAGUAAGAUAGGAGAUAAGGAAAGGAUUUGGGGAAGAUAGAAGAAACAAGAUAGAUGAAAGAUGAAGAAGUUGAAGGGAAGAAGGGAUGAAGUUGAGAAGAAAAUCAAUAUCAAUAUCAUUCAUAAUUCAUCUAGGUUACAUUGCCGCUUUUAUUACCUCAUACAUCAUACUAGAAUGAAAACACAUGAACUACUAGGUACUAAACUGAAAUUAACAAAAUAUCAAGAAUGUGGGCCAGUGGGCCUCGAUUUGUAAGCCGAUGCACUCUGGAUCCUCCUCAGGUGGGCUGGGCCGCUUCCAGUUACCCCUUCCUCCACUUUGGGCUCGGUUCCAGCUAAUUCCCUUAACAGGUCGGAUUCUCCUGUGCCGACAACUCGACCCGCUAAGGAGCCUCCAAGUGCGACAACCUUGCCCCCAAACCUUGUCCGAUUCCUGCUCUUUCAUCACCCACUUCACUUCUUCCUCCAUCCUAGGGUUCCCUCUCGAGCUCUGACCACCUUUCCAAUCGAUCCUCCUCUGCGCUCGCCCUGCAAGAUAAGCCCUCUAACUCCUCUUAUUUCGCCAAUUCGACUACUCUACUCCUCCCUAACCUACCUCCUAAUUGGCAGAUGCAACAGGAUUUUUAUGGUGAAAUUUUGACAAUACUUUCAAGGAGAGGAGUUUUUUACAGAAUUUUUGUGAAAUUGGAAUUAGUUGGAUUUAUGCAUGAUUCAAGAACCAAAUUACGUGAAGGUCAUCGUGGGAUAUUUCGAUUGGAUUCCAGGUGGCCUAGUUGCCGUAGUACGGCCAUGGAGACCGUAGCGAAGCACCUUAUUUUCCGACGUCCUUUUCUUUUCUAGAAUUAGCAAUCAAGGUGGGUUCCAUAUAUGUUGCUGAAAAUGGCAUCCUUCCUUCUAUAUCUUCCCUGCGCACACAUGCACGCACAGAGUUUGGCUGGUGUACUUCUAAUGUAUAGCGUCAAGCACUUGGUGCUAUCAAAUUUUCUACCGUUAGAUUUACCUCUUUGAUCAUUUCUAUUCGUCGGAUUAUAUUAUUCAACCAACUACCCACUCAACUCUAGGAGACUUCUAUCAUUCUAACUGCGUAUCGCUUCAUCCAAAGGCCAAAAACCUAAUAGUAUCAAUGACUUGAUACUAUUAGAAGAAUUCCAACCUAAUUAUAUAUAUAUAUAGAGUUUGGCUGCUAUACUCUAAUGAGUACCAUGGUCUUCAUACUUAUAAGUCGUUUUCGAUGAUAGAACUUCCGAAUCAACGAUUCAUAUCAUUAAACAUGAUUUAGAGCAUUUGAUACUUUUAGAAAUUAAAUUUCAUAAUAUUUUGACCUCAUUUACCUUACGAUUGUUGGAUAUAUUGUUAUAUAAUCCAAAUAAUAUGUUCACAUACAAGCCUAAUAGGUGAAAGCGUAUUAUGGCCCAUAUCAACUGGAGCCCAAUAGCUUUCUUAUUAUUCCUAGGGUUUUCCUAUGCUGGAGGUAACACUGUUCAGCAUUCAAAUUUGAUGCCUCUUCGUGUAAUACUUCAAUCACCCAAAAACCCUAACCUCCAACAAUCUUGAAGUAUUACGAUCGUAUGUCGGAUUUGAGCAAGGUGUCUAAUCGAAGUUCUCGUCAAGACGAACUCACCGGUAUAAUUUAUUUUCGAUUUCGACAGUUGGAUUGGUCGGGAUCCGAGUUUGAAAGUACGGCGCCGAAAUCUUUGAUUUAAAAAAAAUCAAGAAAUUAUAGCCAAUUUCUGAGGGUGAAACCACUUGGGUUUUGUUCUACUCGUCGAUACGAACGUUUUGAGUGGUCACUCGUCUCGAUUGGAGGUCGGACGAUGGAGUUACGACAAUCGAAAGUUUUCAGCAGUUUCCGGCAAUGAGGGCAGUUCAUCUUAAGGUUUUUGGGCGCUACGGAUCCAUUUUUGGGUCUGUUUUUGCCAAAUUCCACCUCUACAAAGUAGUUUGAUUAAGAUCAGGGGCUUUGUUCGACUUUGUGUGCUCUGCGGAUUAUAAGGUGCACUCUUUCUAACACUUUGUUCUGAUUAAAUUGCAAAGCGUAGUUCUUUUGAUAUUAUAAAACUGCAAUCAUUUGAUGUCACUAAAUUUCAUGGUUGGAAAUUACAUGUUCAAUUUGGCAUGAAAAAACGUGAAAUAUUCUACACUGUUUUGAGUGAUUUUGCAUCUACCAUUGAAAAUGUGGAUGAAUAUCAAUGGAACAAGGAUGAAGAUUUAUGUAGAGAUUACUUGUUGAACUCUCUAAAUCCUCGUCUAGUUAUGACUUAUAGUGAGUAUAAGACUGCGAAAGAGAUAUGGGAUCACUUGAACGCUUAGUUCCAAAAACAAGAGGGUCUCUCUAAAACUCUUCUGGCGGAGAAAUUCUUUGACUUUAAGUUCAAUAUGAAUUCAAGCAUCACCUCUCAAUUAAUUGAACUUGAGAACAUGAGAAACAAGCUGAAAGAUGAUAAAUCUGAUAUGUUCGAUAAUCUCUUUGCCGGUCUUGUAUUGAGUAAGUUACCUGCUGAAUGGAAUUCUUUCAAGACUGAAAUGUACAGACUGAAAGAACAGAUGGGUCUGGAUGAAUUAAAGAGAUAUAUUCACAUUGAGGAUCAAAACAGCACUAGAAAGAGUUUAGAACAAGUAAGACAACAAAAGUCAGUUGCCAACUUAGUUUCACAUUUCAAUAAACCUCAGAAAAGAUCCAAGUCACCAAAAGGUGAAUCUUCUUCACAGUUAGAAGCCAAAAAGACUAUCUCCAAAAAAAAGAAGAAGGGAAAGUGUUAUAACUGUGGAAAGUGGGGUUACUGGGCAGCAGAGUGUAAACUACCAAAGAAGCCAAAGAAUAACACACCACAAAGUGAGGCUAAUAUGCUAACUAGUGAAUCUGAGCCUCAAGCCUUCAUUGGAAUGAUGAAAAUUGGAAAGGCUAGUAUUUCUUCUGAGUGGUGGUUGGAUAGUGGCGCUACUUGUCAUGCUGCAUAUGACAAGAACCUACUCAAAGAGAUUACAGAAGUGAAAGACACCGUGAAAAAUUGCAAUGGUGGUGAGGCAGAAGUGACUCAUAUUAGAACUACAAAUUUGGCGCUUUCUUCAGGUAAAUUACUAACUCUGAAACAUGGUAGAGUAGUACCUUUACUUAAAAAGAAUCUGAUAUCUAUGAGCUUACUUGAUAAAGCUGGUAAGUCCUUUUCAACUAUGAAUGGUAGAAUAACCUUAUCUGUUAACUCAUGUUAUUUUGGUUGUGCAUUCAUGGUUAAUGGUAUGUAUAGGUUGAGUUUAGAUACUGAUAGCAUAAACCAUGUAAGUUCUACUCUAAUUGAUCCAAAGUUGUUGCACAAUAAACUUGGACAUGUGAACUACAGGAAAAUGCAACAUCUAGCUAAAACUCACAACAUUCCAUGGAUACUUCUAUUCGAUUUGACAAAUGUGAAGUGUGUGCACAAGCUAAGAUCACUAGAAAACCUUUUAAGAUGGUUUUUAAAAGCACACAACUUUUUGAGCUAAUACAUUCUGACCUUUGUGAUUUUAGAAAUUACAUCACUAGAGAUGGUCGGAAGUAUCUGAUAACAUUCAUAGACGAUUUUUUUAGAUAUUGUCAUAUCUAUUUGUUGAAAUCGAAAGAUGAGGCUUUUGAAAAGUUUAAGAUUUUUAAGUCUAGAGUAGAAAAUCAACUCAACUUGAAAAUUAAGAGGUUUAGGAGUGAUAGAGGAGGAGAAUAUACAAUGACAGGGUUCAAAGAAUUUUGUGCUUCAGAGGGCAUAAUACUUGAAACCACUGCUCCUUACUCACCCCAAUCAAAUGGUGUUGCCGAGUGUAAGAAUAGAACGUUAACUGAAAUGUUAAAUUUUAUGUUACUUACAGCUGGCAUGCCUUCCUCCUAUUGGGGAGAAGCAGUUCUAACUGCUAAUCACAUCCUGAACAGGUUGCCACACUCUAAGUUGUCUAUGACACCUUAUGAGAUAUGGCAUUAGCGUCCUUGUAGAUAUGAUACUCUUAAGACCUGGGGCUGUAUUGCUUAUGUAAGAAUACAAGAUCCAAAGAGACCUAAGGUGGGACCUAGAACCAUUACAUGUAUAUAUCUAGGUAGUGCAGAAGAUAGUACUGCAGAUAGGUUUUUAGAUCUAUCUACUAACGCAGUGAUAGAAUCUAGAUAUGCAGAAUUCUUCGAGAAUAAGUUUAUCAGAGAUCAUGGCUUGAAUGUUUCUGGAUCUACAGAUAUGAUUUCGGAAUCUCCUGUAAAAUUUGAAGCAGGCCCUUCUGACACUAAUCCCACACAGCUGGCUGUUGAAUUAGUUCCAGUUAGAGUAUCUAUAAGAGAGAGAGUUCCCAAAAGUUUUGGUGAGAACUUUGUUACUUAUCAUCUCGAGGAUGAUCCAUUUUCUUAUCAAGAAGCAAUGAGAUCUAGGGAAUCCCUACUGUGGGCAGAAGCCAUAGAUGAUGAAAUGAGCUCUCUGUUGCAGAACCACACUUGGCAUCUAGUCAAUUUGCCAAAAGGGGCUAAGGCUAUAGGCUGUAAGUGGAUAUUGAAAAAGAAACUGAAUAGUGAUGGAUCAAUAGCUAGAUACAAAGCACGUUUAGUAGCUAAAUGCAAUAAACAGCAGAGUGGAAUGGACUAUUUGAUGUCUAUUCACCUGUGUAUCAUCUAUCAACUAUAAGAAUUCUUCUUGCUUUGGUAUCUAUUAAACACUUUGUAGUGUAUCAAAUGGAUGUAAAAACAACUUUUCUAAAUGGCGAGUUAAAUGAAGAAAUCUACAUGGAACAACCGGAAGGAUAUGUCAUGAAAGGUCUUGAGACAAAGUUUGUAAAUUGAAUAAAUCUUUGUACGAUCUUAAACAAGUACCUAAGAUGUGGCAUCUUAAAUUUGACAAAGUGGUAAAGAGUUAUGGCUUUCAGUCUAGCUAUUCAGAUAAAUGCCUUUACCAUCGUUCUAUGUCAAAUAAGAUAGUCACCAUUUGCUUAUAUGUUGAUGACAUGUUAAUACUUGGCUCCGAUCAUUCUGUAGUGAGUGACGUGAAAGCUACUUUAGCUAAAGAAUUUGACAUGAAAGAUCUUGGUAUUGCUAAUACCAUUCUUGGUAUGAAAGUAAGAUUUGAAAGGCAAGUCAUCUCCCUUAGCCAAGCUCAUUAUAUUGAGCAGCUACUUUCUACCUGGGAAUACAGUGAUUGUAAACCGAGUGAGACACCAUGUGAUUAUAAUAUAAGACUGAGUCCUAAUGAAGGGACCAGUGUGGAUCAAUUAAAGUACUCGAAACUGAUCGGUAGUCUCAUGUAUGCUAUGAGUUGCACUAGACCCGACAUCGCCUUUACAGUUGGCAUGCUGAGUCGUUUCACUAGUAAUCCUAGUAAAGAGCAUUGGGAUGCCCUUAGUAGGCUGAUGAGAUACCUUAAAGGUACGAAAGAUUAUAUUUUAUGCUAUUUUGGUUAUCCUCCAACUGUGGAUAGAUAUCCUGAUGCCUCAUGGUGCUUAGAAAUUGAAAAUAGUAAGUCCACAAGUGGAUAUGUAUUCACCUUAGGUGGAGUUGCUAUUACUUGGAAAUCCAAAAGACAGACUUGUAUUGCCUUGUCGUCUAUGGAAUCAGAACUUUUUGCUUUAGCUUCCGCUGCCGAAGAGGCAGAAUGAAUAAAGAAUCUGAUCUUGGAUAUUUCUUUAACUCGGCUACAGAUUAAUUCUUUAAGCCUGUUUUGUGAUAAUCAAGUAGCUGUCCAAGUUGUUAAGAAUGCUUUCUUUAAUUCAAAGAGAAGACAAGGAUAAUAUGGCCGAUACUCUCACAAAACGUGUGCCUAAAGAUCGAUUAUUCAAAACAGUGGUGGAAAUGGGGUUAAAGACUAUGUAGACUAGUCUUAAUUACCAUUUACUUACCUUCUAAUUGUAUGUUUUGAAUUAUCGAAUCUUCCUUUGGUGGUCAAGCACAAUUUUAUAUGUUUCAUCGAUGUUCAUGGUUGCGGACUAAUUUGAAAAGGGUGAGUUUCUCAUUCCAAACUUGAUGAAGAUGACUUUAACCUAGUUCAAAGUUCUACUUGGAAAGCUUGUGUCAUUCCAAACUUGAUGAUACAAUACAAUUAGGUUGGACUAUUCUUUUCUUGGUUAAAUGAUCUCAUUCCAAACUUGAUGCUAGAUUAUUUGACUUCAAAGAAUUAGUAACUGCGACAUUCCAAAUUGAAACAUAAAAAUAGCUAUUUGCAUACGAAGCCUGUUGGUCUUGAUCUUAAUUAAAACUUGAUAUUAUAUGACUAGUUUAUUGUAAGUGACUUAACUAUUGCUCGUGUUGUUUGAAACUAGACAAUGAUUAUUCUCUUACAAAUAAACUUAAGUUGAUGGCUCUUUGUAAAUCAAACUAUUUAGGCUUUAUUCAUAAUCUAUGAAACUGGCUUGAUGCUUAUGAACAUGAUAUUAUGAUGCUUUAUGACAUUAAUAUAUGUUCUUCUCUGCUUGAUGUUAUGAUGCUAAGUUCUUUUAGUAAACUAGACACUUUUAGUAAAUUAUUCAAAUGAUUAAAUUCAUGAUAAUAUGAAAUUUAUAUUUGAUACUCUACAGAGGAUGACAAGGAUGGAGGAGAGCUUAAUUAGUGGGAUCCUGAUCAGGGUGAUGUAUAUUUUAUAUUAUAUAUAUUAUUAAUUAUUAUACUAUAUAUAUGUAUAUUAUUAAUAUUAUAUAUAUUAUAGAGAGGCGAUGCUGUGCUCUCAGGAGCACGGAGGCCUCGUGCUCUUAGCGUUUUCGAUGAUGGAUUUCCGGAAUCGACGAUGCGGCUCGUUAACUUUGAUUAGCGUAUUGAGAUUCUAGAAUAUUUGCCGAUUUUUUUAUAUAUUUAUAGUGAUCGAAGGAUUCAAAAUCAAUAUUUUCAUGGUUUGAUAUCUACGUUUCAGUUUAUGGUCUGUGAUUUUCAUAGCAUGAAUUGAUACGAAUUCUCUAUACUAUCUAUACAAGUAUCCAUAUUUUAGUCCGAAAUUUUAGUGCAUAUCAUCAUUUUGAUAGAAUUUUUUAUUUCAGCGUUAAAAUUAUGAUUUUGAUCUUUCGAUUGUAGAAAAUGAUAUCGAAAAAUCGCAAAUUUUUUUCUUAGAGACUUUCAAUCGCGUAGUCAAGUUACGGAAGGCGAUCGUCGAUUUGGAAAUCCUCAUCGAAAUCGGACUUAGGAGACGGGGCCUCGUGUCUAGAGACAGCCAGUCUGUCUUCUCUUCUCUCUCUCUCGUCUCUCCUCUGAUCUAUAUUAUAUUAUAUAUUCUAUUAUAUAUCAUUUAGAGUGUACGAGGACUUGACAGUUCACUUACUAUUAUCCAUUUUAAUGGAGUCUAUUUACUUAAGACUUGCUUUUUGCUAUCUCUAUUUUGUGAAUUUUAUUACACCUUUUCUUGCAUUUGUAAGGCCUUGGAUUAUUUUGACUGGCCUACUUAUAUUUGACUGUUAUGCAUAUAUUGGUUGUGAACUGAUUUUGAUAAUUAUUUUGGGUACGUCGAUCUCAGAACAGAUUCAUGAUAAGGAUGAUUCACUCAUUUGGAUUACAAUUGAUGAUUGAGUUUCAAUCCGAGUUGAUUGUCUUGGAUUGGAUGUGGAUGAUUCAUAUUUGUUUGAACAUUACACUGACCACCUAUUGGAUUGUACUGUAUGGUGAACAUAGGAGGGGAUUGUUCGAUAUAUUGUUAUAUAAUUCAAAUAAUAUGUUCACAUACAAGCCCAAUAGGUGAAAGCGUAUUAGGGCCCAUAUCAACUAGAGCCCAAUAGCUUACUUAUUAUCCCUAGGGUUUCCUUACGCUGGAGGUAACACUGUUGAGCAUUCCAAAUUUGAUGCCUCUUGGUGUAAUACUUCAAGCAUCCAAAAACCCUAACCUCCAACAACGAUCAAAAGAUAUCAAAAUUGAUAACUUUUAACUAUUGGUAUGGAAUACUUGCUAGUUUAACAGUGUAAAAGAAUCGUAAUUGGUUAAAUUAUUGAUGAAAAAUUCUAUUCACUAUUUAGAUAAAGAUCAAUAACUCUGAUCUUAAAUUAAAGAAUCUGAUCAUCUACUUUUAGGAUGUCAUUCAAUUUUGGCUGUUCAUUUUAUAUUUGCUUGAUAAAUUUUAUUAUAAUUUAAUUCGAAAAAUUAUAAUAAAGAGUUCUAUACUAUAUGUAUAUUUGUUACGCUAUGUGGUAGCGUUGGAUGUUAGUAGCGGGGUGGAUAGUGUCUAAUGCAUGUGAUUAUGAUUCUAUAAUAGACUAUUUGGACAGUAGGUUGAGUUAGUUAUUGGGUUCCUACUGUUGUUUUAUAUUGCAUGCAUUAUGAUGAGACCGAGAGUGCCGUUGCACAUUAUGAGUAUAGAUAAUGAGAUAUAUUUUGAUAUUAUGACAUAUUGAUCAGUACACACUCUAUGAUCUUGCUGAGGAUUCCUGGAUAGUUAUUUGAGAUAUUUUUUAUUAUUGUAUUGAUUAUACCUUACAGAGCCACAUUAAGCUUGACAGUGACAUGCGCUAUGAUACUCAAUAGGAAUCGCUCCCCUUCGAGUGCUGCUUCGAAUGUUGGCCAGUACUGAUAUAGCAGAGAUAGUAGUCUACAUAUUGUCAGCGCACGUACGGGAGUGUGGUUCGGAUAGUCAGUGGAUGCAAGUUUAACCGGACUAUUGAGUCGGUCUUACGAUUGGGUGACUCAGCUUUUCUUUAUCAAGAUAAUGUUUGAUGCAUAUAUUAAUAAUCUUUAGUAUUUUUCCUUAUCUAUUUGUAGAGGCAUGAUAAACUUAUAGUUGCUUUUCAAUUCAGCACCUUAUAUUUAGUUUUAUAUAUACUAGUUUAGGGCCCGCGCUUUGCGGUAGAUCGAUAGUAUUUCAGUCAAUCAACAUAUAUAAUUAUUAAAAUUUAAAAUUUAAAAAUAUAAUAAAAAAAAAUUCAUAUAGCAUUCUAUACAUUAUAAAGCUAAUCUUUUUUAUUAUAAAAUUAAAAUUUAUAUUUAAUAUAUGUAAUUUAGUUAUAUAAAAAGUUUUUUUUUUGAGAGAGAUAGGUAGUACGCUACCCACUUCGUUUAUUUCAUUUAGAAAUAAACUUAGCUGGAAAUGUGAAUCAACUAGGAUUCGAACUUGGGUCUCGAGUACCAACCACCAAGUCUUUUGUCACUUGCUCUAGUUAUAUAAAAAGUUGUGUAAAAAAUUAGAGAUUAUAUAUAUAAUUUAAAUUUUAGGAAAGAAUGAAAAAAAAAGCCUCACUACCAAGAGAGAGAGAGAGAGAGAGAGAGAGAGGGAAAAAAAUCCCACUUGAGCCACCCACCCGCGCCCGCUCGCUCGCACCUAGGGGUGACAAUCGAGCUCGCUGUUCGCAAGCCAGCUCGUGUUCGGCUCGAAAUGAGCUUGAGAUCGAAUCGUUCGUUUAGUAAACGAGCCGAACACGAACUAAAUUUUUCAGCUCGUUUAAUAACAAGCCGAACACGAGCUGGGGUCAGCUCGCUCACGCGUGUUCGGCUCGAUAACAGCUCGAAUACAUAUAUUUUAUAUUUAUAUAAUUUAUUUAAUUUAUAUUUUUAUAUAUAAAUAAAUAAUUAUAUAUAAUAUAUAUUUUUAUUAUUUAAUUUUUAACAAAAUAAAAUAUAAAUGCGAGCAUAAUUAUAAAAAGACUCAUUUAUAUGUAAAAUUUUAACUAUUAGAUCAAAGUCUAAUGGAUAAAAUUUUAUAAAUUUAUUUUUUAUAUAUAUUUAAUCUAAUCUUUUUUAAUUUAUUGUUCGUUGGCAAGCUCGCGUUCGGCUCGUUAAUAAACGAGCCGAACACGAGCUGAAUUUUUCGGCUCAAUACUUUAACGAGCCAGCUCGUGUUCGGCUCAUUUAAUAAACGAGCCGAACACAAGCUGAGCCGAGCUCACUCGUGUUCGGUUCGUUUACACCCCUACUCGUGCCCAUGCCCGACCACGCCCGCCCGCGCCUCGCCCCUCGCACGCACCCUCGCUGCUCGCACUACCACGAGGAGCUUUCUGAGAACUCAACUUUUAUUAUAUCUAUAGAUUCUGCUCUUGUACAUUUUUAGUUGUGGACUCUAGAAAAUAUUGCUAUUUGUAAACUCUAGAUCUGUUUGUUUACUACAAUUUGUUGGACGCUCCACAUGUGUGGGAUGCGUCUUAACGCAUGUGGCAGAUUUGUUCGCGUGCCCGGGGGCUUUCACUGUGGGCCCAGGGUGUGAAAAACUUGAAAUUCAUUUAGUUUGAAGCAUUACACAAGGCGUCCUCUAGCGAUUAUCAUAGAACUCAUAACCGGGCCUCCUGUUUUGGUUCCACACUAUAGAAUAUGUCUAACCCUUCUUAUGACGCUUUAGUAAAUAGUUAUUCACCUUAUAAUAUGUAGCGGCCACAAAUGCCGUAAUCGGCAAACCAUGUAGACAUUUAAGUACUCCACUUAAACUCUCCAAUUGAUUUGUCGUUAUCGCCCGAAAACACCGACCUCUAUCAAAUGCCCUCGCCCAAUGUUUUCUUCCUCCUUGAAGCUUGUGCACCCAAAGCCAAGCUGCCCGAUUUAGAUCAUUCAGUUGAUCCUUAUACUUAUAAUUUUCUCUUACAGUUGCAGCACAUCCUAUACCCAUAUAAAAUUUGUUGAGCAUAUUUUUACUUUUAAAGCCAGCUUUUUUCAUAUUAGUCUUCAAAUGGUGGAGGUACCAACGAUGAGCACCCUCACAUCUCUCCUCACGAAUAGUUUUUUUUUAACCCAGAAAAGCUGUUUGAAAUAAGACACCUAGAUAGAUCUCAUGUCACUAAGACCUUUAAAUGUCGAAAAAUCAACGCCAACUGCUAGCAUUCUUUCUUUCACAUAUAGCAAUAGCCAACGGGUACAAUCCAUUAUUUGCAUCUACAUAAGUUGCAAUGAAUGUAUGCCCUUGAUACUUUCCAUACAUACGAGUUCCAUCGAUGCUCACCAAUAGUCAACAAUAAGAGAACCCAUUAAUUGGAGGUCCGAUGCCAAAAAUACUCAUCCAAACUGCCUAACCCCAUUUGGCAGGAUUUUGCGAUCUAGACGCCAUUGAGUUUCAGGAUUCAUGCAGUGUAGUACAGACAAAAUGCGACUAAGAUCGAUGUAUGAUUGCUCCCAACUACCAUAAAUGAUCUGCAGUGCUUUAUUUAUAGCCUGCCAUGCCUUCGAGAUAGUAUGUCCACAUGUAAUUAAGUAGGCACUUUUUUUAAAAAAAAAUUUUGUCAGCGUCUAAGUAAGCUUUAGCUUUAUUCUCAAUGAUGGAAGAAUGUGUCGACAUAUAAGAGAUGAAGUACAAUUUUGAUGUGCAGUGUUUAGUACUGGAACUAAACAUGUAUGCUGCUCAACAUAUGUUUUGACUCUAAAAUAACUCGCAUCUUUUGGUACCAAACCAUGUAAUCUCCAAGGAUACGAAUCGACUGUGCAAUUCAUUAUAUAAGCUUUUGUAGUCGAUUUUAGUACGCACAUUGUGAGCAAUAUGCCAUUCCUCAAGAGCGUGCAAUAAAUUUGAUUUAUCAUAAAAUAUCCGACAAACCCAUGAACCAUCAACGCUAGGAGGGCUCUGUUCAAUCUGUGAAGGAUCGAACUCAAUAUUAUUUACUACAUACUGGCUCAUCCUAUCGUCAUUCUUGACAGACUGCUUUGGAUGAUCUAUGAACUCUGCACCUUUAUCUAGAUCAUCCACAUAUUUGUUAUUGGCAAUUGGAUCAUCAAGCUCAGUAUAUAUAAUAUCUGUAUGGACUCCCAGUCCACUAUCAUGAUCUGCAUUAUAGUAGUGACCUUCCUCGGCUACAUCAUCAUUUAUGGUCAAAUACGGAGGUUUAUGUCCAACACUCUCAUAGUCAGUAUUAUUUUAUUCAGUUACUUCCUAUUGCACAUCUGACUAAUUUUGUAUUCCGUCAUACUCGAUUCCUAGUAGAUAGGAUCCAAAAUCAUGCACAUCGUGAGAGGUAGGAAUAUUUCUGCAUUAUUUUUAUGUAAUUAAUCACUACCUAAUGAAAUAAAAAAUAAAAUAUAUGAUGAAAAUAAUUAUAAUGUAUUUAUAUUGCCUUAUUGUCCACCUAGUGGAGUGUGGGAACUUGAUGUUGUUGCACAAGCAGUUAUAGUAUAUGGGAGGGGAGGAGAGCCAACAACUACAUUCGGAACUUCGUAUUUGCAAAUGAAUAAUGAAUCAAUAACAAAAAAAUUGUUAUAUCUAAAUAUAACUGUAUAAAGCCACUAUUUGUAAUACUAACCUAGGCGUAUUUGCUUUAUCUCCGAUAUCAAUACAAAAGGAUUCUCUUUCGGCCCCGGGAACAACACAGCCAUGUUUAAGUCACUACUUAAAAUUUUGAAUGAUAACUCUGUGAUACAACCAUCUGUUUUUAAUAUAAAUUAUCAAACAGGCAUAGUUCCUAGAGAAUGCAAUCAUAUAUCAUACAAUGAGUUAUCGUUAGUAACUUUUUGAAUAUUGUAUUGAUUUUUUCCGAUUAGAUAUUGGACUUUGAUACUUAGAUAAUACUCAUCUCUUCUUACAUCGAUCAAUCUAUACAUUUUUCUCUUGAAAUUACCAAAUGCAACGUCCAUUGGAUGCCACUUAAUUUUUUACGACCGCCAAUAUAUUGUGCAUUGUUACGCAAUAAAUUGUCCAUUCUAGUGAAUACUACUAGCAAUAUUAUUGUAUACCAUCCUAACUUCAAAAAAAAUGUUUGCAAAACAAAUAUAAAUUAAAACAAAAUUAGAUAUCUUACGGUAGAAUCCCACCAUGAAUUCACCACCUAAGGUUUGUCCUGUCUAAUUAUUCUUUGUUAGAAGCAUGGAGAUUGUAGAGGCAAAAAUGAGAACAUAUAUCCUACUACUACGCAUAAUUAACUUGGAUAUCAUUCAAUAUAAUUUGCAGGAGGUUUUUGACCAAUUUAAAAAAUCAGGUGGUUAUCUCAAAUGGCCAUUUUUAAAGCCUUUCUCUACUGAAUUCUAAAUCUAUAAGUACCUCUACAAAAGAUGAUUGAUGCUUUCUAGAGGUUUUCAACAAGGGAUGCCAAUGGGCCAGAUUCGGGGAGGAUUUUCAAAAACCUGAUCCCUAACCCGCCUAUUAACCCCGAAACCCGAACCGAAACUCGAACCCAAAAAUCCGAACUCGAAAAAAUUAUUUCUCUUUACAAUAUUUCAAAAUAUAUUGUAUUAAAUCUAAAUUUUUAAAAUAUAAAUUUAAAUGUAACAUAAAUUUUAUAUAUAUAUAUAUAUAUAUAUAUAUAUAUAGGCUAGGGCUACUAUACUCAGUAUAGAGCCCUUCGUACUCAUAACUUGUUUCUAAUGAUAGAGAUUCCGAAUCGACGACCCACUCCGUUAAAUAUGAUCUAGAGUAUUUGAAACUUCUAGAAAAUAAAUUUUGUAAUUUUUCGAAAUCAUAAUAAAGUUCAUCAAGCGGGUAUAAAAUGAACGGUCAAAAUCGAACGACGUCUUAAAAAUGGAUGAUCGGAUCCUUCAAUUUAAGAUUGGAGUUAUUGAUCUUUAUCUAUGUAGUGAAUAGGAUUUUUUAUAAAAAAUUCAACUGAUUUUGAUUCUUUUACACCGUUAAACUAGCAAAUAUCCCAUACCGGCCAUUAAAAAUUAUCAAUUUUGUGACCUUUUGAUCAUAAGGUAACGAUGUCGAAAAAUUAUAAAAUUUGAUUUCUAGACGAUUUAAAUGCUCUAGAUAACGUUUAACGGUGUAGAUCGUCGAUUCGCAAACUCUAUCAUCGAAAACAACUUAUGAGUACGAGGGCGAUCGUACUCAUAAGAGUAUAGUAGCCGGACUUGUAUUUUCCAUAUAUUUGAAAUAGCUACUUUUUUUUUUUUUUUGCAUAUGUACCCUGCAACUAUGCAAUAUUGCACUAACAGCCUCUCAAAAAGUUGGUAUUUGCAUGUGUACUUCUUAAAUGCUUGCCUACUNCUCUCUCUCUAUAUAUAUAUAUAUAUAUAUAUAUAUAUAUAUAUAUAUAUAUAUAUAGUCCGACUAGGAUACUAGCGAUAGCACCAAAGGGCUUGUUGCUAUCGUGUAACACACUGGACCUGUGCAAAUUGCGAGGUUCGAUUGUUUGAUGUGGACUCCGAACUUUUCCACACUUGGUGGAAGGUCGUAGAUGGUAUUCCGACCUAAAAGUUCGAUUUCUGUAGUUUUGGGCAGUCCUGAGAGUUUUCACUCUUGGGGACCGGUCCCUGGUAGGGGAGACCGGUCCCCUCCGAACAGUGUUGCGGCGAGCUUGAGGCAACCGGUCCCUGGCGGAUGAGACCGGUCCCCGAGCGCGACUACGCGGGGAGAGACCGGUUCCCGAACGUUGGUUUUGCGGGAUGAACCGAGAGACCGGUUCCAGGCAGGGAGAGACCGGUCCCUCUGAGGGAAAUUUGCCCAGAUCGGGCAGUGCACACAUUGCACAGUUUGGGGACCUAGGUGGAUAUUGUUACUUGAGAGGGCUUUUAUGGUCCUUCCACUCUCUUACUCCCUCAUUUCUCUCCCUCACAUUCACUGUAGAGAGAGAAGAAGAAGGAGAAUAAGGAGUUGGAGGAGAGCAAGAUCUUGAAGCUUUGGAGCAUCUUCCUCUCCCUUUGCUCACCAUUGGAGGCUUGAAGCUUGCUAUUGGAGCUUUGUGGAGGAUCAAUCUUCAACUCUAGAAGAUUUGGAGCUUGUUUUGGGGCAUCUAGAGAGGUUUGUACCUUGAUUCUAGCCUUUGAUCCAUGUUUUGGUAGAUUUUACUAUAUGAAACCCUAGUUUUGGGAUUUAGGGUUUAUUUUGGGGAUUUUUGAUUUGAGGGCUUUGAAGCCUAAUUGAUGGGUUUAGAACCUUUAUUUAGGUUGGAUUUGAAGAACUCUAACUCCCAUUUGGAGCUUGAGAGAGGAUUUCUUCACUUGAGGCGAGUUUCUUCCCUUAGCCUAUAUUGCUUAUUGAUUGAGCUUAGGGUUGAUCGUAAGAUUCGUUGAACCCUUGUUCCUACAUCUUUAGGGUGCUAGGAGACUAGUGGACACCUUCGUUGGAGCAAACGAAGGAGCGCAAGAGUUGUGGUGGGUUUGGCUUCAUGAAAACGGGGCGAAAUAACCCCCAUGCUUUCUAUACCCGUCAUAACGUUAUUUUAAAUGCAAAUCUAUGCUAAAUGGAAUUUAUGUGAAUUUUAGAACACUUAAAUUGCAUGUGUUAUGUGUAAAAUAGUUUUCACUCUAUAUAGUAGAGCAUUCUGGGUAUUGUUACAUGCAUUUGAGUAGUGUUCGCUCUAGUCGUUUGGAAGCAUGCUUCAUAUGUUUAAAGUGGCUCAAUUAUGCAUUAUGAACAUUUGGUUUAAGCUUGGACUUAGUAAAUGAAAAUGUCAUAAAGGGGCACUUAGACUAGCAAACUGUGAGACUAUUGUAUUGAGACUUAGUGAUAGGCCAUGAACAUCUACUACUUUCCAUAUUUUAGACAUGAUGACAUAGAGAUAGGCCUAUGAGAGAGUUGUGAUGUAUUCCAUGUUGCUUGACAUGAGGACUUGGUAUUUGAGACGGAUCUUUUGUUACUUGCCAUUGUGCUCAUUCGCACAUGCUUGUGAGGGUUGCUCCCUACAAGCCGGUACUCCGGAGAUGGCCAUCGCGAUACAUAUUCGCCGUACGGGAUUGGGCGCCGAAGUGGAUUUCCGUGGGAAAGGCUCAUUCCUAGAGUGGGGAUGUUGACUAACACGGGGCCAUUAGGCUCGGCACCGGCCAGACAACCUACGGGUGGGUCUCAGGGCCAGACAGUUUUCGGGCGGGUCUCUUCAGAUUUGAUUUUGAACAUUCAUCAUGCCAUGGGGACAUUGAUUAGAAUAGUAAACAAUGAUAUCUUUACUAUUUGACUUAUGGACAUCAUACUAGCGAUACUUUGGUACAUUCAUACGAGAAUAGCUUUUCUUACUUAUGCUAAAUCAUGCUAAGUAGAGAUAUCAUGUGGUAGCAAAUAUUCAUGCUUAUUUACUUGUCGUACAUGUCGCUUUUGUUUAUAUCUGCUUACUGACCCCAUUUUUAGUUUGGGCCUAGUGGUGCAUUUUACUGAAGCAAGUAAUUGCCGACUGGGAACUAUUUUUAAUAGUUCUCACGCCCCUGUUUCUAUGUUUCCUUUUCAGAGCCUUCGGCACCGGCGGAGGCACGGGAUCGCGGCAAGGGAGUCGUGUAGCUAGUUAGCGGGGAGCUACUUUUGAGCUUGGGCGGUUUACUCUCUUCUUUUUGGUUUUUGUGAGAGAGAGUUUUGUUACCAUGUAUAGAGACCACUCAUGUUUUAUGUUUAGCUUUUGUAUUUGGGAUUCUUAUUGUAUUACUUCAUGCUUUUGUUUAGUGGACUUUCGGCUUUAUGUUCAUUUCCUUCAACGUAGAACUAAAUGUACUUCGCUCUGAUGCUUCUAGAUGUUCUCUUUUAUCGUCUUAUUUAUUGUUUUGUUUUAGACGCCUUGUAUGUUUUGGACAUACCGCGGGUCUAGGCACGCGCCGGGCGGGCUUCCGCUGGGUCCUGGGGCGUGACAGAUUAGUUUGGCAUCAGAGCCUAGGGUUAAGUCUUAGUGGACCUAGCAAACCUUAGGCCGGUUGGACUAUAGAAAAUAGGCUCGUGAGAGACGAGGUCUAUUUGACUUGUAAGCGAAAGUAUCGUGAUUGGGUAUUUUGAUAACUCUAGAAAGUGGAGUUAAAUUGAGGUGUAUAGCUCCUAACUUCGCGAAGAGUUACGUUGGCGGCCAACAACGUAACAUCGGGAGUUAGUAGUGAAGCACAUUUCAUUACUUUCGCAUGAUUUGGGGUAUUAUCCGCUUGAGCGGGGAUACGAUAGCGUGGGUUACUAACUUACGCUUUUAUGAUGUUGUAGUGAGAUGCCGAUCACUCGCUCCCAAUCUGCCGGAGCGGAUAAUGCGGCACAUCUUGAGAAGGUCGAGACCUCCACUACCUCCGGAUCCGGCGAGGUCCAAGAGUUGAGGAGCCAACUUGCGGCUCUCACCGAUUUGGUGACACAGCAGGCGGAGGCGGCCCGACAGCAGACGGAGGUGGCGCGCCGAUAGGAGGCGCGAAUGAAGCGCCUGGAGGACCUUCUUUUACAGCAGGCGGCAGCUUCCAGGGAGACUCAGGCCCCUACACCGCCAGCACCAGUUUGGACGUCGCGCCUAGAGCGCCGUCCCCUGCGCCCAGUUCUUCGCGAGCAGCGCCUGCGGCCGCGCCUCAGGAGGAGGCCAUCACGGUACCACCUGUGCAGAGGCCCCCGGGUGGAGCAGCUUUUCCUACCUUGGUCGAGGGAGCGGAGCGGGACAGAUUGAUGGAGCGCCUCAACGAGUUCAGGAGGUGCAGUCCACGGAUCUUCGACAGCGAGAAGGUCGACCACUGGAUCGUGGAGAAGUGGUUGAUGCAUAUGGAGAAGCUCUUCCGCGACACCUUCGUGGAGGAGAGNNNNNNNNNNNNNNNNNNNNNNNNNNNNNNNNNNNNNNNNNNNNNNNNNNNNNNNNNNNNNNNNNNNNNNNNNNNNNNNNNNNNNNNNNNNNNNNNNNNNNNNNNNNNNNNNNNNNNNNNNNNNAGGGCUCGAGCUCGCUCGACUUGAAAUUAGGCUCGCUCGAGCUCGGCUCGAAUUAAUUUCAAUCCAAGCUUGAGCUUAAAUUUAGGCUCGAAAUUAAUUUCAAGCCGAAUUUGAGCCGAGGUAAGCUCGCUCGAGCUCAGCUCGUUUCCACCCCUAGGUUUACUCUUUCUUUUAUUGUAUUAGAGAGAGAGAGAUUUUGCACCAUGUAUAGAGAGACCACCUGUGUACCUUCUAGCACUUAUUUUGGGACUUCAGUUGUACUACUUUAUGCUUUUAUCUAGUGGACUUUUGACUUUAUCUUCAUUUCCUAUUGUAGCUCAUAGAUACUUUUUGCUCUUAUACGGUUUGAUGUUUAUCUCACUUCUUGCCUUAUUUAUCGUUUUGUUUAGACGCCUUAUAUGUUUUAGACAUAUGGCGGGUCUGGGCACGAGCCGGGCGGGCUUCCGUUGGGCCCCGGGGUGUGACAUAUCGAGUUUUCCACUGUUAGAUUUAAAUCUUUGAUUAUUUUUACCUAUUAGAUUAUACUAUUUAACCAAUUAACCACUCAACCCUAUGGGGCCCACAUUAUCCUAACCGCAUAUUUGUCAAUCCAAGGGCUAAAAAACUAACAGUACCAAUAGCUUAGUGCUAAUGAUAGUAUUCCAGCCCUAGUUUCUAUAUAUAUCAUAUAUGAUAUAUAUAGUAGUAUAUAAAUAUGGGGCUACUAUAACUCUUAUGAGUAUAGACUCCCUUACUCAUAAAUUUUUGCAGGGACUUCUCUCUCUCUCUCUCUUCUAUACAGAGAUAUAGAGAGAGAGAGAGAGUUCGACUACUAUACUAUUGAUAGUACCAAGCCCUUGAAUACUAUCAAGUUUUCUGCCUUUGGAUCUACCCCUUUGAUCAUUUCCACCCGUUAAGUUAUACUAUUCAACAACCACCACUCAACCUAAAGGACCACUAUCAUUCUAACCGCAAUCUUUUAUCCAAUGGCCAAAAACUCGAUAGUACCAAUCGAUAGUAUAGUAGCAUAAUUCUCUCUCUCUCUCUCUCGCUGCUCUCUCUCUCUCUUCUCUCUUCUCUCUGCUCUCUCUCUCUCUAUAUAUAUAUAUAUAUAUAUAUAUAUAUAUAUAUAUAUUAUAUAUAUUAAUAUAUUAUAUAUAUAUCAACACACACUAUGGUACUAUUAUCGCUUAUAAGUAUAGGGCCCUUUUAUUCUCACAACUUUUCAGCCUUUUGAUAAGGAUGUGCUGUUAGAUUGAUAGUGGGUCCCUACGGUUGAGUUGAGGUUUGUGUAAAUAUAUUGAUCUAACGAGAGAAAAUUGAUUAAAGGGCUGGAUCUAAUAGUCGAAAACUUAUAAGUAUAUAAGAGCAUAUAUCAUAGGAGUAUAGUACUGGACAUAUAUUUAUUAUAUAUAUAUAUAAAUAUAUAUAUAUAUAUAUAGUCCGGCUGGGAUACUAUCGAUAGCACCAAGCGUUUGGUGCUAUUAAGUUUUCUGCCGUUAGAUUUAACCUUUUGACUAUUUUUACCCGUUAGAUUAUACUAUUAAACCAAUAACUCAUUCAACUCCAGGGGCCCACAUCAUCCUGAUCGUACUUAUAUAAUAUAUAAGAGUUAUAUAUUUAGGGAUAUUAAUAAAUAAUUAAAAUUUAUAAAUAAAAUAUUAUAUAAUAUCUCUAUAUAAAAAGAAAAUACUAUAUAUAUAAUAAAUAAAUAUAUAUUUAUCAAGAAAAUUAUAUAUAUAGAGAGAGAGAGAGAGAGAGUCCGGCUACUAUACUCUUAUGAGUAUAACCCACUUUGUACUUAUAAUUUUCGAUCGUUAGAUCUUCUUCUUUGACCAUUUCUAUCCGUUAGAUUAUACUAUUCAACCAACAACUUACUCAACCCUAGAGGACUACAAUCAUUCUAACCGGGAACCACUAUCAUUUUAACUGCACAUUCCUUCAUCCCAACUAUGGACCUUCCUCUUACGCAGUCCACGAGGCUGAAGUGGCCUCAUGGAUAGCGCAAAAACGCUCCAUGAGUCGCAAUUUUUUUGCUCCGCUUUUAGUUUUCCGCCGCUCUCGCACGGAAAACGAAAGGGAGAAUUUUCCCCAUAUAUGUAAAACUAUUUUUCACGAAAAAUUUUUUUACGUUGAACCAAACGAGCAGCAAACUAAUUUUUUACCGAAAAGUUUUUUUCCACCAACUUUUACGUAAAACCGAACACACCCUUAGUGCACUACAAAUACUUAUUUUAAAAAGUAUUCGUUAGGGUCCAAUUUUGUACCAAAUGUAGACUAGUAUCUUUUGCUUAAGAGUUUGUUAUUUAUGUAAUUACAUAUGAUAAUAGUCUUGCAGGUUUUAAUUUUCUUUUUCCCCCUCCCAAUAAUAACGGAGAAGGUAACGCGUGCAGGUGGAACGAAUCCUUGUAGUGCAUACCAUAUGGUAGGUGGAACGUAUAUGUUAUAUGCAUGGAGAAGUUGGUGCUGGUGCUGCGUCAAAAUUCGUGAUUAUGACGCCCCAGCGGCAAGUCAGUAUAUACAACAAACUACUCAUUAAUUAACUAUAGCCCCACGAGUGCAACUAAUAAAAGUAUAGUUAAUUAUGAUUCCUUCCACAGUUGUUUGUUUUUUCUUCCCUUGGUUUCUUUUGUAUUUCUCACGAGAUUUUUGUAUUUUUCCACGUUUCUUUCAAACGAACCAUUACAAUACUAUUAGAUUAUAGAAAUAUAUUUUUGAAACACUUUUGUAUAAAUAUCUCAUUAUGCCAAAACGUUUUUUAAAAAAUCUACUAAAACCUAAAUAUAAAGCUCAAUCUAACCAAAAACAAAAAAUUCUUGUACUCAAUCAACCCCACCUAGCCCAUUCGGCCCGAUAACAAAUAAAAAAGAAAAAAAAAGAGAAAAAUUGAUCACCAUCUCCCCUUCUCCUCCUCCGCCGUCGUAGCCGACGAGCUAGGGUUCCGACAGUUGGAGUUCAGCCGUGAGAAUCUCGUAGCUAGGGACCAUAGAGGGUUACGAUUA